ensembl:lncRNA
CUUCAUGGAGUGGGGGUGGUCGUUUUGUUUAGAUAUUAAAGUUAAAGCUGACCCCAGGGCCCUAAAGGCCUCAGAGGCCAACAGAUGGCACUAAUCAUGAGUCACGUGCCUGACUGUUUAGGGUCAUGGCUAUGAUGACAUCAUUUCCCCUCGCUGGCCUCCUUGACUUCUUGAGUGCGAGUGGAAGGGUGGGCAUUUCAACCAGUGCCUGCAAGUGCCAGGGUAGGAGCGAGUGGCUCACGCAAAUGUCACACAUCAUGUUUGUGACAGUGGAGAAAAGGUUGUGUCUCACUGGCGUGGACAAUAGACAAGGAGCCAGGUUGGUGGUGAAGUGGGCAGGUUUGCCCGUCUCAGAGGCCCUGAGAGGCACCGCCUCCUCCAGUCCCUGCAGACGGGCAGUUGUGAGAACCCAUGAGUUCACCAGCCCCACCGCAGGCCCACAAAGAAGCCAUCCCAGCCCUGCCCUCAGGGAGUGGGUUGGGGGUUCAGCUCUGCAAGGAACGUGACUGGCCUGCGUUAACAAUUGGAGGAGCCUGGGAGGAGUUCUGAGGCUGAGAUCACGUUCAAGCAUGCUUGAGCUUCAUAAUCAGCCUCAGCCUUCCUGCAAAUGCUUUGACAUCCACUCUCCAGGGGAAGAGAAGGCCCAGGGAGCAGUCUGAUCCAGGUGCUGCCAGGAUGCUGGCACAGCUGGGGACACCCAGGCAUUCUAUUUGCGUAAGGACUCACCAGGCCUCCAGGGAUACAACCUGGUAAUGACUUCAGAACUGACAGCCUGGGGUAGAUGCUGCAGACUGCUUUCUACAGAAGAUAAAAUGCAGGGCUGGAGAGGCCAUCAGAAGUGAUCCCACAUGCAGACCCGCAGGAAAGAAGUUGGGAGACAAAGGCUUGGACCCAGUACAUCUUGGACUGGAAGAGCUGAAUGCCUGGAUUCUACCAGGAGUGACUGAUGAGUGCUACAUUUUACAGGUUCUAAAUAGUAAUAACUUUAUAUU